rnacentral:rRNA from 1 species
GGGAAUAUUGCACAAUGGGCGAAAGCCUGAUGCAGCAACGCCGCGUGAGGGAUGACGGCCUUCGGGUUGUAAACCUCUUUUAGCAGGGAAGAAGCGAAAGUGACGGUACCUGCAGAAAAAGCGCCGGCUAACUACGUGCCAGCAGCCGCGGUAAUACGUAGGGCGCAAGCGUUAUCCGGAAUUAUUGGGCGUAAAGAGCUCGUAGGCGGUUUGUCGCGUCUGCUGUGAAAUCCCGAGGCUCAACCUCGGGUCUGCAGUGGGUACGGGCAGACUAGAGUGCGGUAGGGGAGAUUGGAAUUCCUGGUGUAGCGGUGGAAUGCGCAGAUAUCAGGAGGAACACCGAUGGCGAAGGCAGAUCUCUGGGCCGUUACUGACGCUGAGGAGCGAAAGGGUGGGGAGCAAACAGGCUUAGAUACCCUGGUAGUCCACCCCGUAAACGUUGGGAACUAGUUGUGGGGUCCAUUCCACGGAUUCCGUGACGCAGCUAACGCAUUAAGUUCCCCGCCUGGGGAGUACGGCCGCAAGGCUAAAACUCAAAGGAAUUGACGGGGACCCGCACAAGCGGCGGAGCAUGCGGAUUAAUUCGAUGCAACGCGAAGAACCUUACCAAGGCUUGACAUAUACGAGAACGGGCCAGAAAUGGUCAACUCUUUGGACACUCGUAAACAGGUGGUGCAUGGUUGUCGUCAGCUCGUGUCGUGAGAUGUUGGGUUAAGUCCCGCAACGAGCGCAACCCUCGUUCUAUGUUGCCAGCACGUAAUGGUGGGAACUCAUGGGAUACUGCCGGGGUCAACUCGGAGGAAGGUGGGGAUGACGUCAAAUCAUCAUGCCCCUUAUGUCUUGGGCUUCACGCAUGCUACAAUGGCCGGUACAAAGGGCUGCAAUACCGUGAGGUGGAGCGAAUCCCAAAAAGCCGGUCCCAGUUCGGAUUGAGGUCUGCAACUCGACCUCAUGAAGUCGGAGUCGCUAGUAAUCGCAGAUCAGCAACGCUGCGGUGAAUACGUUCCCGGGUCUUGUACACACCGCCCGUCAAGUCAUGAAAGUCGGUAACACCUGAAGCCGGUGGCCCAACCC